rnacentral:sRNA from 1 species
UAACUUCAGGAGGAUACAUAUGCUGGGAUUGGAGACCAUACUUGGACGGAUUCAACAUAUACUAGAGGUCCAGAUGGUUAAAUUAUAUUUAAAGGAGUUUUUUAUAAGUUCCACACUUGUACUGGCUAGAUCUUUAAAAGAGAAAAAGCUACUUUUAUUGAAUCAAGGCAAAUUAAACACUCCCGAUUAUUAAUAAAAUAUAGUUAGUUAUAAAUAUAUAUUAUUAAUAUUCGUUGCCCAAACCCCAUUUUCAAACGUCGUUUAUCGAAAAAGUCUUUCAAGAAUUUUCCAACAGAAAACCAAUCUUCAAUGGAACGUUUUUAGAAUUUCGAUAGAGGGCGCCAAUGUUAAGAUAUCUGGUCUGAAUUUUAUUUCAGUUUUCAAGUGAUUAAAAAUACAAUUAAGCAAAAAUAUAAACUUUUUGACAUAUGAAUGCAAAACACUUCUACAUAUGUAGAUUUAAUGGUGUUGGAAUCGAAAGAAUUGACCCAUUGUUGUAUUAAAUAAAUAAUUACUAUUUAAAUUUCUAUAGAUUAUCGUUUAAAACAAAGUUGGAAAAUGAUAUUCCUGUCGUCUUCUGGUAUUGUGGCCUUAAAACCCAUAAAAAUAUUGAUGUCGAUAUCUUUCAAGCUGGCUGAGUUAACAGUUUUUGCCAACAAAAGUGGUCAUCAGUCCCAUAGUGCACAGUGCCUGCGAAUAUCACGUGAUGGUUGGCCGUUGAGUUUUGUGCUUAUCCCGAGACUCCAGGCCAAAAAUCAACGAUCACGGAGAGAAAUCGGGGCUGCUUUCAAUGCCAGUGCUGGGGAACCGGAAAGAAACCGGGUGAAACUAGUUCAAGCACAGAGCGAUACGAUUGGAGAAAUGGGAAAAGCGGGCCACAGGAGCACCGGCAGGAAAAACGUUUGGCGUGCUCGUUUUGCAUAAAUAAUAUUGAUUUAUUGGGUAGCGCAGCAUUUUGCGGUUCAUAAGCGGGCAAUUUUAAUGCCAAAGGAGCCGAAAUGGUGGAAUAACGGAAUAAGAAUAAAGAAUAAGCGGAAGCCCAAAGUAUGACACACA